rnacentral:rRNA from 1 species
GGCGAACGCUGGCGGCGUGCCUAACACAUGCAAGUCGAACGGAAAGGCCCGGCUUUUGUGGGUUGCUCGUGUGGCGCACGGGGGAGUAACACGUGUGUAUCCUCCCCUUGUCUGAGGGAUAACUUCAGGAAACUGGGGCUAAUACACGGUAGAACCUCCUGCAGCACGGGGGGGGAUGGAAAGUGUCGGCGGUUGGGGCUAGACUCGCGGCUUAUCAGCUUGUUGGUGGGGUAGUCGCUUACCAAGGCUUUGACGGGUAGCCGGCCUGAGAGGGUGACCGGCCACAUUGGGCCUGCGAGACGGCGCAGUCUGCUACGUGCGGCAGUGGUCGAGAACAUGACGCAGCGGGGGGAAGCCUGAUGCAGCGGCGUCCCGUGCGGGAUGCCGUCCUUCGGGUUGUAAACCGCUUUCGCAUGUGACGAAGCCUGAGUGACGGUAAUUGGUAAAGAAGCACCGGCUAACUACGUG